UACGGGGGGGGGCAAGCGUUGUUCGGAAUUACUGGGCGUAAAGGGCUCGUAGGUGGCCAACUAAGUCAGACGUGAAAAUCCCCAGGCUCAACUUGGGAACUGCGUCUGAUACUGGAUGGCUUGAAUUCGGGAGAGGGAUGCAGAAUUCCAGGUGUAGCGGUGAAAAUGCGUAGAUAUCUGGAGGAAUACCGGUGGCGAAGGCGGCAUCCUGGACCGAGAUUACACUGAUGAGCGAAAAGCUAGGGGGAGCAAAACGGG
rnacentral:rRNA from 1 species